rnacentral:lncRNA from 1 species
CCAUCGCCAUCUCUCCUCCCAAGCCAGAAAAUCUAUUCUGCCUGCUGAAAAUGUACGAGGGCUUGGCCGAUCUCGUGCCCGAAGUCGGAGGUUUAUUCUCUCCCGAAGGCUCCGCUGCUUCCAUCACGGCGGAAUGCCGCGAGAUUCUCUGCAAAAUCGGCGAAUCAGUCAGGGCCUCCUUCAGCAUGUUCAAGACAGCCGUCCGGAAGAAAACCACCACCUCUCCGUUCCCGGGAGGGGGACCCGUUCAUCUGACCAAAUACGUUAUGAACUACCUCAGCGUCAUCCCCGAUUAUCGCCAGACGCUCUGCUUGCUGCUGGAGGGCCAACGCGAUGGGGAGGAAGAAGACGACGGAGGCGGCGAGGUGGCCUCCGGCGACACCUCCCCCCUGAGGCGCGGCCUCAUCUCGGUGGCGGUGGUUCUCGAGGAGAACCUCCGCACCAGGUCCUUGCUGUACACGGACCCCGCCCUGCAGCAUUUCUUCAUGAUGAACAACAUCCACUACAUGGUGAAGAAGGUCAGGGACUGCGAGCUUCACGAGCUGUUUGGGGACGACUGGGUACGAGCUCACAGCGUCCAAGUCCAGCAGCACGCCCUGAACUACCAAAGGAAUUCAUGGAGCUCGAUCCUCACCUUCUUCAGAGACGACGGGAUCUUCAGCCGCGGCUCCAGCCAUCCUUCCACGACCGUCCUCAAGGAGAAGUUCAAGAGCUUCAACCUCGCCUUCGAAGAAAUCUACAGGACACAGACGGGAUGGCUGAUCCCCGACGACCGGCUGCGG